rnacentral:rRNA from 1 species
GACGAACGCUGGCGGCGUGCCUAAUACAUGCAAGUAGAACGCACAGUUUAUACCGUAGCUUGCUACACCAUAAACUGUGAGUUGCGAACGGGUGAGUAACGCGUAGGUAACCUGCCUGGUAGCGGGGGAUAACUAUUGGAAACGAUAGCUAAUACCGCAUAAUAUUGAUUAUUGCAUGAUAAUUGAUUGAAAGAUGCUAUUGCAUCACUACCAGAUGGACCUGCGUUGUAUUAGCUAGUAGGUGAGGUAACGGCUCACCUAGGCGACGAUACAUAGCCGACCUGAGAGGGUGAUCGGCCAAACUGGGACUGAGACACGGCCCAGACUCCUACGGGAGGCAGCAGUAGGGAAUCUUCGGCAAUGGACGAAAGUCUGACCGAGCAACGCCGCGUGAGUGAAGAAGGUUUUCGGAUCGUAAAGCUCUGUUGUAAGAGAAGAACGGGUGUGGGAGUGGAAAGUUCACACUGUGACGGUAUCUUACCAGAAAGGGACGGCUAACUACGUG